GGCUCCGUAGUUCAAUGGAUAGAAUAGUGGUUUCCUAAACCGUAGAUGCAAGUUCGAUUCUUGCCGGAGCUA
rnacentral:tRNA from 1 species